GCUGGGUAUGGUGACCUGCGCCUGUAAUCCUAGCUACUUGGGAGGCUGAGGUGGGAGAAUCGCUUGAACCCAGGAGGCAGAGGUUGCAGUGAGCCGAGGUGGCGCCACUGCACUCCAGCCUGGGUGACAAAGUGAGACUUCAUCUCAA
rnacentral:SRP_RNA from 2 species